rnacentral:rRNA from 1 species
AUUGAACGCUGGCGGCAGGCCUAACACAUGCAAGUCGAGCGGCAGCGGGAAAGUAGCUUGCUACUUUUGCCGGCGAGCGGCGGACGGGUGAGUAAUGCCUGGGGAUCUGCCUAGUCGAGGGGGAUAACUACUGGAAACGGUAGCUAAUACCGCAUACGCCCUACGGGGGAAAGCAGGGGACCUUCGGGCCUUGCGCGAUUGGAUGAACCCAGGUGGGAUUAGCUAGUUGGUGAGGUAAUGGCUCACCAAGGCGACGAUCCCUAGCUGGCCUGAGAGGAUGAUCAGCCACACUGGAACUGAGACACGGUCCAGACUCCUACGGGAGGCAGCAGUGGGGAAUAUUGCACAAUGGGGGAAACCCUGAUGCAGCCAUGCCGCGUGUGUGAAGAAGGCCUUCGGGUUGUAAAGCACUUUCAGCGAGGAGGAAAGGUUGGUAGCUAAUAACUGCCAGCUGUGACGUUACUCGCAGAAGAAGCACCGGCUAACUCCGUGCCAGCCGCCGCGGUAAUAC